GAAGGAGUACUACGAGAAGGAGAGCUGUGUUCAUUACAUUCAUAAUAUAAAUGUGCCUCUGCUGCUGGUGAACUCUGGUGACGAUCCGCUUGUGCACAACUCACUGCUCACCAUUCCUCGCACACUCGCAG